rnacentral:rRNA from 1 species
AAGCGGUGGAGCAUGUGGUUAAUUCGACGCAACGCGUAAGAACCUUACCAGGGCUUGACAUCCCCUGACCGCGUAUGAAAGUACGUUUUCGACCCUCGGGUGACAGGGAGACAGGUGGUGCAUGGUUGUCGUCAGCUCGUGUCGUGAGAUGUUGGGUUAAGUCCCGCAACGAGCGCAACCCCUACGUUUAGUUGCUAACAGGUGAAGCUGAGCACUCUAGACGAACUGCCGUUGACAAAACGGAGGAAGGUGGGGAUGACGUCAAAUCAUCAUGCCCCUUAUGUUCUGGGCUACACACGUGCUACAAUGGCCGGUACAGACGGAGGCGAAGCCGCGAGGCGGAGCAAAUCCGAAAAAGCCGGUCUCAGUUCGGAUUGCAGGCUGCAAUUCGCCUGCAUGAAGUCGGAGCUGCUAGUAACCGCAGGUCAGCUAUACUGCGGUGAAUACGUUCUCGGGCCUU